GUCCACGCCGUAAACGAUGGACACUAGCUGUCGGGACGCAAGUCUCGGUGGCCAAGCGAAAGUGAUAAGUGUCCCACCUGGGGAGUACGUUCGCAAGAAUGAAACUCAAAGGAAUUGACGGGGGCCCGCACAAGCGGUGGAGCAUGUGGUUUAAUUCGAUGAUACGCGAGGAACCUUACCAGGGCUUAAAUGCAGAAUGACAGGUUUAGAGAUAGACUUUUCUUCGGACAUUUUGCAAGGUGC
rnacentral:rRNA from 1 species